GAUGAAGAACGCAGCGAAAUGCGAUAAGUAAUGUGAAUUGCAGAAUUCAGUGAAUCAUCGAAUCUUUGAACGCACAUUGCGCCCGCCAGCAUUCUGGCGGGCAUGCCUGUUCGAGCGUCAUUUCAACCCUCGAGCCCCCCCGGGGGCCUCGGUGUUGGGGGACGGCACACCAGCCGCCCCCGAAAUGCAGUGGCGACCCCGCCGCAGCCUCCCCUGCGUAGUAGCACACACCUCGCACCGGAGCGCGGAGGCGGUCACGCCGUAAAACGCCCAACUUUCUUAGAGUUGACCUCGGAUCAGGUAGGAAUACCCGCUGAACUUAAGCAUAUCAAUAAGCGGAAGA
rnacentral:misc_RNA from 1 species